GUUAGAGGUUAUAAUGUUAUCACAAUAUGGCGGCGACGACCAAGAAGCGAGAGCUGUCGCCAGGAGAAAGCGGGUCGGAGUCAGCGGACGAUGAGUGGGUGGGACCGCUGCCCUCGCAGGCUGUGCACGCAAAGAAAAGAAAAGUUCUUGACUUUGAACAUGUGUAUCUCGACAACCUGCCGAGUGCUUCAAUGUAUGAGCGUAGCUACAUGCACAGAGAUAUUAUAACGCACAUGGUGUGUACACGGACAGAUUUCGUAAUAACAGCCAGUCAGGAUGGACAUGUCAAAUUCUGGAAGAAGAAGUAUGAUGAAGGGAUAGAGUUUGUUAAGCACUUUCGCAGUCAUUUAGGAGUUAUUGAAUCUAUCUGUGUAAGUGCAGAAGGAGCUCUGUUCUGCUCUGUUGGUGAUGACCAGGCAAUGAAGAUUUUUGACGUAGUGAACUUUGAUAUGAUUAACAUGCUCAAAUUAGGGUACCAUCCUGGUAAGUGUGGGUGGAUUUACUCACCAGGAGAUGCUAUAUCUGCUGUGGCAUGUUCAGAAAAAGUCACUGGAAAGAUCUUUGUAUAUGAUGCCAGAGGAAGCAACCAGCCACUACAUGUCUUUGAAAAACUGCAUAGUUGUUCUCUCACCGAGAUUAACUUAAAUUCUGUCUACAAGGUUGUAGUAUCGACUGACAAAUCAGGAAUGUUGGAAUACUGGACUGGGCCACCCACUGAGUACAGGUUCCCCAAAAAUGUGGAGUGGGAAUAUAAGACGGAUACAGACCUGUAUGAAUUUGCAAAAUGUAAAUCAUACCCAAUUAGCAUCACAUUCUCCCCUGAUGGGAAAAAAAUGGCUACUAUUGGUUCUGACCGCAAAGUAAGGAUUUUCAGGUUUUUGACUGGAAAGCUCAUGAGGGUGUUUGAUGAAUCCCUUACAAUGUUUACAGAACUACAGCAGAUGAGACCACAGCUUCCUGACAUGGAGUUUGGCCGGCGCAUGGCUGUUGAACGAGAACUGGAAAAAGUGGAUGGAAUAAGGCUAACAAAUAUCAUUUUUGAUGAAACUGGACAUUUUGUACUUUAUGGUACAAUGCUGGGAAUCAAAGUAAUAAAUAUAGAAACAAACAGGUGUGUGCGUAUCUUGGGUAAGCAAGAAAACAUCCGGGUGGUGCAAUUAGCCUUGUUCCAAGGUGCAGCUAAACAGGCACAAGUUGUAAUAACCAUGGAGAUGAAAGCUUCUGACAAUCCUGUGCUACAAAACGUUCAACAGGACCCAACUGUGUUCUGUACAGCAUUUAAAAAGAAUCGAUUUUAUAUGUUUACAAAAAGGGAACCAGAGGACACAAAGAGUGCUGAGUCUGAUCGAGAUGUCUUCAAUGAGAAACCCUCCAAGGAGGAGGUCAUGGCUGCUACACAAGCAGAUGGCCCUAAGCGUGUUUCAGACAGUGCAAUUAUCCACACAACAAUGGGAGAUGUACAUGUUAAGCUUUUCCCUGUUGAAUGUCCAAAAACUGUGGAAAAUUUCUGUGUACACAGCAGAAAUGGAUAUUACAAUGGACAUAUAUUUCACCGUAUCAUUAAGGGGUUCAUGAUUCAAACUGGAGAUCCAACUGGCACAGGGAUGGGUGGAGAAAGUAUUUGGGGAGGAGAAUUUGAAGAUGAAUUUCAUCCAACAUUGAGGCAUGAUCGACCUUAUACACUCAGUAUGGCCAAUGCAGGUGCCAACAGUAAUGGAUCCCAGUUCUUUGUAACUGUUGUACCUACAAUGCUGCCAGACCUAGAGAAGUAAGCUAUUUGACCCCGCAGGUCUGCUCCACUAUUCAAUAUGAUCACGGCUGAUUUUCCACCGAGUUUCUACAGCCUUCUGGGGUAGAGGUUACCAAAGGCUCAAAACACUUGGAGUGAGUUAUGAGAAGUAUUGUGGAAUAUUCUGUUUCUUGGACACUCAGACCAGUCAAAUGGAUUGCAGAGGCACAAAUGCUAACCUAGAUCUUGCGGGUGAGAUAAUCAUUCUUAGAGGUGUGGAGAGUUGAUUCCCGUCUGAGAGAGUGACAUAAGCCAAAAUAAUAGAGAAAGACCUGAAAAUGCAGUGCGGAACACCUUUAUUGCUAGCCAUGGCUUGACAACAAACACACAGUUUUUGGCCGUGUGACAAAAGGGAUGGAAGUGGUCCAGAGGAUUGCCAAUGUGAAAUGUAACCCAAAAACAGACAAGCCUUAUGAAGAUAUCAGUAUUAUCAAUAUUACUGUAAAAUAAAAGUUCAAGUUCAACAAA